AUAUCAAUAAGCGGAGGAAAAGAAACUAACAAGGAUUCCCUCAGUAACGGCGAGUGAAGCGGGAAGAGCUCAAAUUUAAAAUCUGGCUUACUUGUAAGUCCGAGUUGUAGUCUGAAGAAACGUUUUCCAUAAGCACUGAGGCACAAGUCCCUUGGAACAGGGCAUCAUAGAGGGUGAGAAUCCCGUCCAUGGUCUCAAGUUGCUUAUUUUGUGAUACGUUUUCAAAGAGUCAGGUUGUUUGGGAAUGCAGCCUAAAAUGGGUGGUAAAUUUCAUCUAAAGCUAAAUAUUGGCGAGAGACCGAUAGCGAACAAGUACCGUGAGGGAAAGAUGAAAAGAACUUUGAAAAGAGAGUUAAACAGUAC
rnacentral:rRNA from 1 species